rnacentral:SRP_RNA from 1 species
CUUCGGGGCGGCGAUGAAGUCCGGGCCCCACGCAAUGAGAGACCUCGAACCGUGUCAGGAUGGGAACAUAGCAGCACUAAGGGGACACUUUCAUGUGCCGUGGAUUCUCCUGGGCGGAGCCGCCCCGAAG